rnacentral:rRNA from 1 species
GGAUUGCCUUAGUAACGGCGAGUGAAGCGGCAACAGCUCAAAUUUGAAAUCUGGCGUCUUUGGCGUCCGAGUUGUAAUUUGUAGAGGAUGCUUCGGCGUAGGCGCCGCCUAAAGUUCCUUGGAACGGGACGUCGUAGAAGGUGAUAGCCCUGUGACAGGGCGGAUGCCGUCGCCAUGUGAAGCUCCUUCGACGAGUCGAGUUGUUUGGGAAUGCAGCUCAAAACGGGAGGUAAAUUUCUUCUAAAGCUAAAUACCGGCCGGAGACCGAUAGUGCACAAGUAGAGUGAUCGAAAGAUGAAAAGCACUUUGGAAAGAGAGUCAAACAGCGCGUGAAAUUGUUAAAAGGGAAGCGCUUGCGGUCAGAACUUGGCCGCCGUUGCUCGGGGAGGUCUCGUGCCUCCCUCGCUCUUCGGCGGCUGGGCCAGCAUCGGUUCGGGCGGCUCGAUAAAGGCCGCGGGAACGUAGCUCCCUCCGGGGAGUGUUAUAGCCCGCGGCGGAAUGGGGCCCGCCUGGAUCGAGGUCUGCGCAUCUGCUCGGAUGCUGGCGUAAUGGCCUCAAGCGGCCCGUCUUGAAACACGGACCAAGGAGUCUAACAUUCGUGCGAGUGUUCGGGUGUCAAACCCGUGCGCGCAAUGAAAGUGAACGUAGGUGGGAACCCCUCGUGGGCGCACCAUCGACCGAUCCUGAUGUCUUCGGAUGGAUUUGAGUAUGAGCACGUAUGUUGGGACCCGAAAGAUGGUGAACUAUGCGUAAACAGGGCGAAGCCAGAGGAAACUCUGGUGGAGGCUCGCAGCGGUUCUGACGUGCAAAUCGAUCGUCAAAUUCGCGCAUAGGGGCGAAAGACCAA